AUGACUCAAUUGUACAAGAUACGUCACAAGUGGGCGAAGCCUUAUUUCAAAGGUGUGUUUUGCGCUAAGAUGACCAGCACCCAGAAGAGUGAAAGCGCUCACCACAUGUUGAAGAAUUACGUUCCUCCUGCAUGUCCAAUGCACAUGUUUGUGAAGAAAUACAUGAUGCUACAGUUCGAUAGGGAAUCGGAGGAAAACUACGAAGAGAAGAGGACUAUAAUUGUACUACGAUGA
rnacentral:rRNA from 1 species